rnacentral:rRNA from 1 species
GCGAUGCCAGCUGGCCGGAAGGCCGGCGAGUCCCUGACGCCAUGCCUCCGAGAAAAUCCUCUAGGCAGGAUGCGCGUGCCCGUACCAAAACCGACACAGGUGGACAAGUAGAGAAUACUAAGGUGAUCGAGAUAACCCUCGUUAAGGAACUCGGCAAAAUGGCCCCGUAACUUCGGGAGAAGGGGCGCCCCGGUAGGGUGAAGCGACGGUUCGCCGCUCGCGGAGCCCGAGGGGGCCGCAGUUAAUUGGCCCAACCGACUGUUUACCAAAAACACAGGUCUCUGCUAAGUCGUAAGACGACGUAUAGGGGCUGACGCCUGCCCGGUGCCGGAAGGUUACGUGGAGAGGUUAGCCGCUUCGGCGGCGAAGCCUUGAAACUAAGCCCCGGUAAACGGCGGCGGUAACUAUAACCGUCAACAGUUGGGCGGUUGCAAAAUCUGGCUAUAUGCUGGGACACCUGAGAAUCUGGCGGUACCCGCGUCGUGCGGGUGACAAUCCGACCAGUGCAGGCAAUCAGCAGGAAAGGCCGGUGGUCCGCGUGGCCAUCGGAAUCCUCAGAGGCCAUACGCCAGACGCCCCAGUCCGGGGCGAUGAGAUGGUCCGACCUCCACGGCGACGUGGAGAGCUGGGCGGAACCGAAACGACCCAGCCACUCAGCGCGAGCCAGAUGGCUCGUACUGAUGUGUAACAAAGUGCCUAAGGUAGCGAAAUUCCUUGUCGGGUAAGUAACAACUUGCCUCCUGCUCCGCGAGGAGCAGUGCAAACCGGCUCAUAUCGGGGAAGCCCUCCCCGCGGCGGCGCUCAGGCGCCGGUGCGGCGGGUAAUCCCGAGGGAAGUCGGGGAGCCCACGCGGCUCCCUUGACCCCGUAACGACUGAUCCGAAAGGAGAGGCGUGCCGUCCUGGCCCAGCGCCAGAAUCAGUUGCGGCAUGCAACACGCCGGCCCUCACUCAAGGAAUUGGGACGCCUAUGGAGACGCAGUCCGGUUGGACCCCUGGUUCGUGACCGGUCUGGCGGAGGGCGAAGGGUGCUUCUGCAUCUCGUUCGCCAUCCGCCCGAGACUGCGCGUCGGGCUCGAAGCCCGACCGUCGUUCUCGCUCUCGCUGAAUGAGAGGGAUCGCGAGCUGCUGGGGGACCUACAGGCCUUCUUCGAAUGCGGCUGGAUCCGCGAGUCGCGAAACGAUCGGACCUUCAAGUACGAAGCCCGGUCGGUAACGGACCUCGUGGACCGGAUCGUUCCGCACUUCGAGGCCUAUCCGCUGCACGGCGCGAAGCGUCGUAGUUUCAGCGGAUUCGCCACGGCCUGCCAGAUGAUCGGACAAGGAGAUCAUCUGCGAUCGGAGGGGAUGGCAGAGAUUGUCCGGAUCGCUUACGAGAUGAACCUCGGCAAGCGCCGGCAUCCUGCCUCCACGCUCCUAAGGGCGCUCAAGUGAGGUGAAGGGAUAGUCUGCGCCUCCGGAAACGGAGGAUUAACGCGAAGUUCCGACCUGCACGAAUGGCGUAACGAGUUGGGCGCUGUCUCAACGAGGGGCUCGGUGAAAUCGCAGUCUCGGUGAAGAUGCCGAGUACCCGCGGCCAGACGGAAAGACCCCGUGAACCUUUACUACAACCUGAUAUUGGAGUCUGAGGCACCUCGCUCAGGAUAGGUGGGAGGCUGUGAAGCAGGGACUGCGGUCCCUGUGGAGCCGCCCUUGAGAUACCACCCUUGGUGUCUUGGGCUUCUAACACCGCGCCGUGAAUCCGGGCGGUGAACAGUGUCAGGCGGGUAGUUUGACUGGGGCGGUCGCCUCCCAAAAUGUAACGGAGGCGCGCAAAGGUUCCCUCAGUACGGUUGGAAAUCGUACGUAGAGUGCAAAAGCAACAAGGGAGCUUGACUGCGAGACAGACAUGUCGAGCAGGUGCGAAAGCAGGCCUUAGUGAUCCGGCGGUAGCAAGUGGAAGCGCCGUCGCUCAACGGAUAAAAGGUACUCCGGGGAUAACAGGCUUAUCGGGCCCAAGAGUCCACAUCGACGGCCCGGUUUGGCACCUCGAUGUCGGCUCGUCGCAUCCUGGGGCUGAAGUCGGUCCCAAGGGUUGGGCUGUUCGCCCAUUAAAGCGGUACGCGAGCUGGGUUCAGAACGUCGUGAGACAGUUCGGUCCCUAUCUGCCGUGGGCGUUGGAGAGUUGAGAGGAGUCGUCCCUAGUACGAGAGGACCGGGACGAACGCACCUCUGGUGUACCAGUUGUCCUGCCAAGGGCACUGCUGGUUAGCUACGUGCGGAUCGGAUAACCGCUGAAGGCAUCUAAGCGGGAAGCCGACCUCGAGAUGAGCUCUCCCAUCCCCUUGAGGGAGUAAGACCCCUGGAAGACCACCAGGUGAUAGGCCGGAUGUGUAAGCACAGCGAUGUGCUCAGCAGACCGGUACUAAUGGUUCGAGGGCUUGACGG